GAUUAUUGGACGAGCUGCCACUGCAUGCUCUGACUGGAUAUAGUAGACUUGGAAAAAGAGCAACAUUUCAACUGUUGAGGAGCUUUUCAAAAUACUGCAGCUCAAAGUGCCAACAACAUUUCUACUCUGCAUGGAAACUGUCAGAUGAGUGGAUUUAGUAUUGAGCUGAAUGAGCCGUUUCCUCCAAUCAGAGCUGUGUGUGUUUGUCAUGUGACUGAGAGGAAUGAUGGGAAAUAAUGUGUGAUCUCUCCCAGCAGGUUGCUGUGUCUGUGUGAAGGUGUGGGCUCUGCUAUGAAUCAGUGUGAGGACAGAGAGGAGGGAGUCCCUCCCUCUAAAAGCACUCUGUGUGGGG